GUCUGGGUAGCUCAGUUGCUAGAGUGUUGGGCCUUUAAUCUGAGGGUCCAAGGUCCAAAUCCCUGUUCAGGCA
rnacentral:tRNA from 1 species